CCUACGGGCGGCUGCAGUGAGGAAUAUUGGUCAAUGGGCGGGAGCCUGAACCAGCCAAGCCGCGUGAAGGAAGAAGGCGCCACGCGUCGUAAACUUCUUUUGUCGGGGAACAAAGGGCGCCACGUGUGGCGUUGUGAGUGUACCCGAAGAACAAGCAUCGGCUAACUCCGUGCCAGCAGCCGCGGUAAUCCGGAGGCUGCGAGCGUUAUCGGAAUUUAUUGGGGUUCAAGGGUGGGUAGGCGGUCCGGAAAGUCAGCGGGAAAAGCCCGGGGCGCAACCCCGGCGAGCCGUUGAAACUGUCGGACUAGAGACAGCGAGAGGGACGCGGAAUGCGCGGUGUAGCAGUGAAAUGCAUAGAUAUCGCGCAGAACUCCGAUUGCGAAGGCAGCGUACCGGCGCCGGACUGACGCUGAGGCACGAAAGCGAGGGUAGCGAACAGGAUUAGAUACCCCAGUAGUC
rnacentral:rRNA from 1 species